GGGUGGCAGAGCAAGACUCCGUCUCAAAAAAAAAAAAAAAAAAAAUUGAUGUGUAAGAGAUGCAAUUAAAUAUUCAGUACUUGUUUUCAAAACUGGAGUCAAUCUUUGGCAAUAUUAGGUCGUUUCCUCUUCUGAAGCAGUAAACACUACCUAACUGUUGUUUCUUUGGGUAUGUUCCUAACUGUAAACUUGAGUAAGUGAGCCUCCUUCAGUAUCUAAAGAUUUGGGUGUUUUUGUUUAUAUGUAAACCUCCCAAGCCUCUUCAGGAAGUUCCUCCAUUCCUUACAGAAUAGGGCACCUAAAGUAUUUCCUACAGAGGGUAGGUGGAUAUUCUGUCUUUCUGAUAUAGAAAGAAUGCAUACACACACACACACACACACAUAUAUCUCCUUUGUAUGUAUAUGUGUGUGUGUAUAUACACAUACAUACAAAUAAUUUAGUUUCAUUCUUUAUCCCAUGUUGCUAGUUUAGGUGGUACUGGAACUCAAGUGAGUCUUGCAAUAAGAAAAAUACCUUUCUUUCAGGUCAUGUACCAUCAUGCAGAUUGGCCAGUAUACAACAUUAUGAUUUCACAAAGCUAGCUCUGUUAAUUAUGCAUAUUAAAUUAUGCAAAGCGUUAGCCCUACCCACCUACCUGGCCUUCUCUGGAUGACUAAGUUCACCUUGAAGUACAGAGUGGACAGUCAAGCAGACUGGACAGGGGAACUCUAUUACUUACAUGUUUAUAUUCCAGAGUAUCACACACAAAUUGCAGAAGAUGUAUGCCUGGCUUACCGAUCUACAUUACUCAGCUCCUCCAAGCUCAUCUUAGUCUUAGUGUACCUCACCCAACUUUGGAGGGUUAAUUUGUUGUGUCUUAAACUUUUUUCUUUGUGUUUCUUGGGAGAUGUGUAAUAUUAGAUAAUGUUCCAGAAACUGACCCUUAUGGAAAUGAAGGUCCAUGAUUCACUUUGGAUUCCAAGUAGAAAAAGAGGUUUUAAAAGUUCCUUUCCAUUGUCUCAGUGAGAAGACCACUAAAGAGUUGAAGUUAAAGAAGGAAAGGUUCAGUGCCGUACAAUCUUAAGGUUAGCAAGCAAAGACUAAAAGCUAUCUGCUACCAGUAAUGAGGGCUUAAUGACAGAAAUGGACAGUCUUGUCUGACCAGCUUAUGUGAGUGAGGUCAACCUAGUUAUGCACUGAAACUGUACGUUUACCCACUUUCAGUAAGUGUGUUUACCAGCUCCGUAGUGAGGAGAUCUGUGAGUUUCGUGUCUGAUGUCACUGCGUGGCCUUUUGUAGUUAGUUCAGUGCAAUUAAGUACUUUCUAGUAUGUGUCUUUAGUCAAUGUCAGCCAAUGUUUUCAUCACCAUCAUAAGGUCUUGAGUUUUGAAAGCUCUUCAGGUUCUUCUUUACAGACACCUAAAAUGAUUGACACUGCCUGACCAUGGUCAAGAUGCUAGCGGCUAAAGUGGGCAAAGCCAGGUUGAAAUGAUCACAGAGCAGUGACCUAGCUAUGGCCAUAAAGCCAAAAAUAACACUCUAAGGAAUAGAGGAGUUAUCUGGGCCUGAAAGACUGCACAGAGGAAAACCACCCCACCUGCCUGGACUGCUCAUUUCUGGACUGUUACAUGAGAGAGAAUCAAGUUCUACCUUCCGUAAGCCAUGACAGAGUUUCACUCUGUAUCCUAGGCCGGAGUACAGUGGUGCGAUCUCGGCUC